UUGACGAUGCAUAUCAUUUGAUCUUAGGAUGUCAUAUUCCCAUUUCAAGAUGCACAAUAAAGAGAAUCGCAUUAAGUAUACUUGACAAUUAUUCCAGAAGGAAAUGAUGCUAACAGAGUAAAUAGAUUAUAAAGAUAUGCCAGAUAGCGAUUCGUGAGCAACAAAACAAGAUGAGGUCGAGAUCAAGAAAGUAGCAAUAUAUACCUGGAGCAGCGAGAGACGACGGAGUUUGCGAUGGGGGAGAGCUGGGGAAUGGGGGCGGGGUCGUCCUCCGCGACCUUCCUCCGCCCGCUGCCGCCGCUGAAGAGGGAUUUGAGGGAGAUAUCCCGCAUAAAGCUCUCCAGUAUCCCUCUCCCGCUUCCGCUCGCCAUGUCCCCAAUCCCCGCGCCGGUCGUUUCAGAGAUCGGCGACUCUUGACUCCGGCGCCGCGCGUCUCAGGCCCACACAAGCGCCAUAUUCCUCUCCUCCAUGAGCCCUGCAGUGUAAUAAUACACGUGGGCCGACGCAAAAUCCUAGCGUCAGAGUCACGUCGGUUGGUUUAUUUGUUAAGUUUUUUUUUU
rnacentral:lncRNA from 1 species